UUAUCUCCCAUCCCUCACAUCGCUCUUCAUCUUCCUCAUGUCCGCCAGAAACUGGGUUACAUGGGAACAGACGGCAGUGUCCUUUCCUUUCCUCUUCUGUCUGGAUCCCAUCGCGGAGGCAUGAGGCACCAGCAACCCACUGAAAACAUAUUUGAAAUUAAGACCAGAAUUCAGGGCUGGCUUUCUCCCCACCAGGCCAUUGCUGGCCCCCAGGACUGCGGCAUCGAUUUUUAGGGUUCCUUUGCUUCUGUCUGUAUUUAAAUAGAGGUUUCUUCGGUGAACUUUCCUCAACUCCCCACUUCAGUAUAACAUCUGCGUUCUUGAAGGAGCUUGACUUAUACAUUUACACACAACGCAACUGAGGAAAAACCAGUUCAUUGUGAUGGGUGCCAUGGCAACCUUCAAAAGUGUCAAAGAUUGUGGUUCCUAGGAAGAGAGCCUGUGAAUACCGGGGGAGCUGCUUUGUGGAGGAAGAGCCUUCAAGACAAAAGACUACAGACGGUUGGACAGGGCAGGAAGGGACCUAAGUGAGGACCUCAGCUAUGUGGUUUUAGCUCAUCCCUUAAGAAGCCGAGACCUGGGGCAUAAACUGCAAUUUCCAGUGUGCCCUGCGCUGAGGGCACUGCCGUAUUUACUCCUACUCAGUCAGUCACUAGCUGUGGGCUGUAGAAGGAUGGGUAGGGUGGACAUAAGUGCUCAGGUUAGGCAGUGCUGGCUUGAAGAGCAAGAUUCUCCAGACAAGAGCUUCCCUCUCAAAAACUGGGAGCGUGCGCCCUAGCCUGCAAGUUGGAUCAGGCUGUGGCAAUGUGGUAACACCAUGCUUCAACCAAAAUCGACUUCUCAAU